rnacentral:rRNA from 1 species
UACGUAGGGGGGCAAGCGUUGUCCGGAAUCAUUGGGCGUAAAGAGCGUGUAGGCGGCCUGGUAAGUCCGCUGUGAAAGUCCAGGGCUCAACCCUGGAAUGCCGGUGGAAACUGUCAGGCUCGAGUCCGGAAGAGGCGAGUGGAAUUCCUGGUGUAGCGGUGAAAUGCGCAGAUAUCAGGAGGAACACCAAUGGCGAAGGCGGUUCUCUGGGCAUGAUCUGACGCUGAGGAGCGAAAGUGUGGGGAGCGAACAGG